UGCUUUUCAUUUUACAGUAGUCAUAUUUCAAAACCCUAACCUCAAAUUCGUAACUUCAUCUCUUCUAAUGUAUGCGUGCUGCCUCUCUCUCUCUCUCUCUCUCUCUCUCUCUGAGCACAUUCAGAGAAAAUGAAACCUCAAAUCUCAAUCUCUAUCAUCGUCGAUAUCAAGCAUAGCCCAUUUCCAGCCCCCAAUUGCACAUCCAUAAUCACUCUCAAGAAAAUGGAAGAAUGGUAAGUAUGAAAUUGUGGAAGAAGUUGAAGAGAUGGAAAGAAGUCCAGAUCUAGUGACAUGGAUUAUGAGGAGGAUGAACUGUUGUCAGAUAGUGAUCCUGAAGGAGAGGAUAAACUGUUGUCAGGAUCUCUAAGAGUUACCAACCGAGAAAAAGAGGGAAAUGAUACUUACAACACGCCAGCUGGCCCUUCUAAGCAAGGAUGCCUCUUCUGCAUCCGGGAAAAGUCAAAUUGAGUUCCCAAAUGGUUUACCCCCACAGCCGUCUCGAAGCGAGUAUCUUUAUUUCAUUUUUCUGAUUUUUUGUUCAUUUCCUAGUUAUUUACUAGUCAUGUCUCGUCUUUGCCAAUAACCUAUGUUCCAGUGCAAAAGGAGAAAUUGUCAGAAAUUGAAUAGCAAUUGAAGAAAAUUGUGGCCCCUUAGAAGCGUAGAAUGCUAAAUGAGAAAGCAGCCCAGUAAUAAGAGGCUAAGAUAAACAUUGGCCUUUUUCUCUGUGUUGGCUUGCAGUUUGAAGUGUCAGAAUCAAAUUAAUCAGCUAUUGGAUCGAGUUUCUCCGGCAACAUCCACAUUUUCAAUGGUAUGCUGCUUUCAAACUUUAAAGAAGAGUAUCUCUGUUUCUGAACUCUGUUUUUUUACUUAGACUUGCACUAUUUAGGUGCAUUGCAUGAUAUUUAUAUGAUAAUAGUUAUUGUUGCACUAAUGAAGUGAAUGAGCGGUCACAUUGUCGUUCUCUAAGACAUUAGAGAUAAUGUUUGUUGGUUUUUUAAUCUAUUUUGUACUCAAAGAGAUGACAAGAUGAGCACAAAUGUAGAUGUUUUUCCUUCAUUAGAUUGUAUUAAAGAUGUAAAAGGAUAAAGGAAAGGCUUUGUUACCUUCUGAUUGUGGAGUUAAUGAAUAUUAUGCCCAUGAUCUUCACUGAUUAUCUAGAUUUGCCCAGCCAUGAUCUCACCUAGCAUUUGAUAAAAAUAGAUUUAAAAUACCACCAGACUGACUUUGGUUUCCAAUCUAGCUAGUUCAAAGUUGUGCAUUUUAUUUGAAUUUAUGAUAUUUAUUACUUGCACAAAUGUAUUUUAUAUGCAUGUAUGUGUAGUGUAAUGAAUAUAUUUCUUUUGAGUUGAUUUGUGUGGAGCUUUAUGAUGUUGGAAAUUUGUCUUGUUUGUGAUUAUAGAUGGCACUGUAAUGGUACAUUUGAUGUACGCAAUAGAACUGGAGGUUGUUUUGGAACCAUGAGGUUCCAUACUGAGCUGGCUCAUGGAGCCAACAAUGGCAUUGACAUUGCUUUUAGGUUCUUGUAGCCCAUUAGGGAGCAAUUCUCUUUCCUUUAUCUUACUGAUUUCUAUCAAGAAGUUUAUUGAUUUAGAAUGUUUAUAUUACGUAAUUUGUUUGGUUUGCUUUAUUAAAUAUAUAUAUUUUUUAGAGAAAUUGGAUUAUUUUCAUCCUCAUCUUGCACAUAGUUGGCUGCUGGUGUUGUUGAAGUUACUGGAGUACGUAAAAUUCCAAUCCAUCUAGGAAGGCUGGUUAGUAUUUUUUUUUUCCCACUCAAGUGAUGCAUUUAACAAUUUUAUGUUUAUAAUCUGCAUGUACAAAUUGUGAUAUGCACAUUUUUUGAGUUAUUAUGUUGUCUAUUCAUUAUUAAGAAGCCAUGUUUUAGAAUGUGGUAUAGCUUGUGUGGUUGUAAAGAGUAAGACACAAUUUAUCCCUUUAUGAAUUUAAAUGUCUAUUCAUUUUUUGCAUUUGAACUUCGUCUUAAAUUUGUAGUCACAUACAACUUGUAAGAAUUGAACCUAGAUGUUUUGCAUCAUUAUUUAUGAUAUGAGAUAUUUGAUAUAUUUUUCCUCUAAAUAAUAUUUUAUUACUUUUUAUAUGUUCGUCUUUGACUAAAGUUUUGGAGCUUGUCCUUUCAGGAAUCCUCAUUUAACCAAAUAACAAAUUGUGGUUGAGCUGAAAGUAUAUCUUGGAGUCAAGAAAGUUAUUUGAUUGUCCUGUGAAUUAGUAGUUAUUUAUUCAGUCUUUGGAUUUGAUUUUCUUCUUUUUAGGUUUGGUGAACUACACUAAGUAGUUCAUUCAUGAAAUUGUUAGCAUAUAUUUUAUUGGUAUUUGUUUUGGUUUUGGAGGUAACCAAGUUUGUAAAUAAUGCUUUGACCUAUAUUUAUUUGAUUGACAAUUGAGUUUUUUUUCUAUA